rnacentral:rRNA from 1 species
GUUAGAGCGAAAGCAUGGGGGAGCGAACAGGAUUAGAUACCCUGGUAGUCCAUGCCGUAAAACGUUGGGCAGUAGGUGUUGGGGGACAUUCCACGUUUUCCGCGCCGUAGCUAACGCAUUAAGUGCCCCGCCUGGGGAGUACGGCCGCAAGGCUAAAACUCAAAGGAAUUGACGGGGGCCCGCACAAGCGGCGGAGCAUGCGGAUUAAUUUGAUGCAACGCGAAGAACCUUACCAAGGCUUGACAUAUACCGGAUCGUUCCAGAGAUGGUUCUUCCCCUUUGGGGUCGGUAUACAGGUGGUGCAUGGUUGUCGUCAGCUCGUGUCGUGAGAUGUUGGGUUAAGUCCCGCAACGAGCGCAACCCUCGUUCCAUGUUGCCAGCACGUGAUGGUGGGGACUCAUGGGAGACUGCCGGGGUCAACUCGGAGGAAGGUGGGGAUGACGUCAAAUCAUCAUGCCCCUUAUGUCUUGGGCUUCACGCAUGCUACAAUGGCCGGUACAAAGGGUUGCGAUACUGUGAGGUGGAGCUAAUCCCAAAAAGCCGGUCUCAGUUCGGAUUGAGGUCUGCAACUCGACCUCAUGAAGUCGGAGUCGCUAGUAAUCGCAGAUCAGCAACGCUGCGGUGAAUACGUUCCCGGGCCUUGUACACACCGCCCGUCAAGUCACGAAAGUCGGUAACACCCGAAGCCGGUGGCCCAACCCUUGUGGAGGGAGCCGUCGAAGGUGGGACUGGCGAUUGGAC